AUGACUCUUUAUAAUAUAAAAGAUAGAUUUAUGUUUUCACUGUUCAAUCAUAUCAUAAAUUUAAAUUGUGAAAAUAAAGGCAUACUUUUUUGUCCACAUAACACAAUAGUUCUUACCCAGGGACGGUUUUUGUUUUCUGGGAGAAAUUUGCCAAAAUCUGAAGACAUUUCUGAUUGUCACCAGAGAGACCACUACGGGCAGUUAGUGGGUGGAGACCUGGACUAUUUAACAAAACACCCUAUGAUGCAUAGGAAAGCCUUCCUUAAACCCUCCAUCCAUGAGUUGGGUCAUGUACUACACACAUUUGGUAAAUCUGCAAUCAACAUGUUUUCCAAGUUGAAAAUGGUUAGAUGGACAGAUGAAUGGAAGAAUGAAUGAAUAAAAGGAUGACUAAACAGGUGAGUAUUUGCGAAGGUGCAGGAGCUGAGCAUAAACUUACCUUAACAUGUAAAUACCUAAGAAAAAUCAAUGGAAUUCUCCCCAUGCUCUGAAAAAAAGGUGGGGGGGGGCGAAAGUAGGAAGUUAGUUCCUCAGAGUCUCCCAAAAACCUGCCUUGUGAAUUCUCCAUCAAGAUGAUUCUUACAAUCUGGAAUUUUUACAAUCCUAGAUUCCACUUGGCCUGAACAUGAAGGGGCUUCCCUUCCUUGGAAUCAAACUCUAUACUCUGGAGACAGAAAUGAAAGCACUGUACAUUGUGUAGGGUGACCUUGCAUGUUCCCCCGGAAUCAACAGCCAUUUUCACACCUAAAAUAAAACACUUAAAGACAACUAUUUAAAUUAGAAAGAAUAAGUCUUUUCCUUGAUUAAUUGCACAUUGCAGAGAAAGACUAUGUAGGAGGUAAUAAUUUAUGGUAGCAAUUUGAGGUGAUUUUGUCACAAACUUCACAUGGUUUCAUACUGUAGAUUUUGGCAAGCAUAAUACUCUGUCAAAAGGGAGGGAGCUGGAGGAAGUAAAAUAAAUAUUUAAGCCCAGAGAGAUCCUUCCAACAAAUGUUCAUUCUCAGAUCAUCUGUUCUUCAUUUCAUGAUAUAGAUUACAAAC
rnacentral:lncRNA from 1 species